rnacentral:piRNA from 1 species
UNUGGGUUUACUACUGCUGUAUUUUUCACU